rnacentral:rRNA from 1 species
CCAGCGACGACUCCUCGUCUCCUCCUGCCGCCCCUCCCUCUUCCUCGUGUCCUCCUGCCGUGACCCCCUUCCUCUUCGCUUCGGCCUCCGGCUCUGCCACGAGCGCAGUACACAGCCUGCGACGAGCAGCCGGGAUCAACAGCAGGAGUUAGAUCAUACUACACACUUCUAGACUCUGUUUUUUCUUCUCCUUCUUAAAACUGCUUCUCAACCCAGUACCCCUUGUUUCCAGUAGUCUUGUAUGUAUUGACAACGGCUUCGGGAGAACGAUUUCCUCCUAUAUUGGUUGUAUUUGUGUUACGAAUGUUCCUCUAUAGCCGAGUAAACUAACGAUAUAACCGAAACCAGUGGGAACGCUCCGAGGAAUAGAAACUUCGUUCCCAGCCUACGAGAAACCUGAGUCCUUCUGCUUGUACUAUCUUUUUCUUUCCCUAGUUGGAACGGUACUGGGGUAUAAAGACAUCCGAUUAUAGGGAAUAAACGUGAUAGGAUGUGGCUUAUGAAUAUCCCAAUACACGGAAACGGUACGUCGUGUACAGUUACCGUCAAGUCCUUCUCUACUGUAGUGUU